GCCUAAUACCGCAGGUAUUGAGGAAAGUGAAGAAAGACCAAGCUUGGCUUCUUCUAGUGGCCCCCAAUUGGCCAAGGAGGUGCUGGUUUCCACAGCUCCUAGAACUGUUGGAGGGGGACCCGCUCAUACUUCCUCUGAGAUCAGACAUAGUAUCUCAACCUCUGUCGGGGAUCGUGCAUCCUCAGCCAGCGGUCCUCCACUUAACCGCAUGACCGUUAUCGGGCAGGACACAAAAGCGUUAGGCCUUUCUGAUCGUGCCUCACAAUUGGUGAUUCAAAGUCGGAGAAAUUCGAUUAUUGAUCUUUACAAUUCUCGUUUGGGCCGAUUUUCAGAUUGGUGCACUGCGCGGUAUGUUGAUCCUCGCAACGCUUCUCUUGCUGCGAUCGCGGAUUUCUUUGUUCACCUUUUCGACAUCAAUCGUUCGCUUUCCACCAUUAGGGGCUUCCGGUCGGCUAUUGCCGCGUUUCAUUCCGGAUUCCCAGAUGGCUCCAACGUCUCUAAUUCCAGUCUUCUCACUUGACUGAUGAGAGCGUUUUUCCUAAGCGAUCUCCGAAGAAAAGUCUGGUUCCUUCCUGGAGUCUUCCGGCUGUGCUUAACGCCUUGGCUAAGCCUCUGUAUGAACAUCUGGCCAAGAGCUCCUUGCAUGAUUUGUCUGUCAAGACUGCCUUUCUAAUCGCUGUAGCAUCCGGUCAAAGACGCAGCUCUAUUCAUGUUUUGUUUUUUUCUCCCGGUCACAUCCGGUGGGAACGGCGUGGAGUCCACUUGAUUUCCACACCGUCCUUCAUUGCCAAGAACCAGACUGCCACCUCUGGUUCGUAUUAGUUCUUCCUAGCUCUUUCAGAUCUUUCCUCGGUUGCCGAGGACAAGUCUGGUGCCCGGUCAGGGCGUUGAAAUGGUAUCUGGAUAGAACGAAAACGCUUCGCAACUCUGAUCAGUUGUUUGUCACGUUGCGCGUGCCGUUUGCGGCAGCGUCGCGAGACACCAUCUCCCGCUGGAUCGUUGAGGCGAUCAAAUCAGCUGGUGAUGAUGCUCUCCUUUCGGACACUAGGCCGAGAGCCCAUGAUACUCGAAGUAUCGCUACUUCUUGGGCUCGUUUCAAUGGAGUCGCCUUAGACGGCAUUUUAAGAGCUGCCUUUUGGCGCUCUUCCAACUACUUUACUUCCUUUUAUUUAACGGACAUUCCUUUGGGAGAGGCCUAAUUUGCCUCCUCUGCCCUCAAGGCAGCGGCCCCUGUGUCUUAAUCUCCCUUAUUUUGCGCACUUUUUUUUUCUAGACAUGCCUCCCUUCACGUUGAAUCCGUGUUGGUCUAGCAAAUCAAAUGAGUAUAUCCCAGUUAUUGAUCGUAAAUUAUGAAAAUACUUACCAUGAUUUUCUUAUUUACGAAAUAACUAGAUAUACUCAUUUGAACCCUCCCACCUUCCCCUCGCCUUGCGUGGCAACUUGUCUUGCGUGCAGGCUCAUGAGAGGAAAUGGCCGCCCAAUUGCGCGAUGAUCUUGGGAUAGUGCCAAAGACCUUAUAAUAUAUUACUAGACCGAAAGCUGCGUGCGCGUUCAGCACAAAACAAAUGAGAUUAGGCUCCGCCUACCGCGAUCAUUUGAAGACAAAAAUAAGCCCUCAUUGACAUUCAUGAGCAUGAAGAUAUUCAUAAUCCGGCCUUUUCAUUGGCUAAGAGCGUCAUUAAUACGCGAUUUCCCCGAUUCUUUGUCAUCAUUACUAGUGGUAUCGUGUUACAGAAUUAAUUAUUCAUUUGACCUCAUUACGUCAUCUAAUUUAUUCAUUCUGAAACUUUUCUUUCCACACACAAAAUGAACCUACGAACACUCCGGUGAGUACGUAUUAAUUGAUAUAACCACAUGAAUUUAGUGGACUAUUUACACAUUUCACACUGUAUUUUGUGAUCUUAGGUUAUUUGUUUAACAAAUUAGAGAAUUUGCUAUUAAUCUUCUGUUAAAGGAAAGCAGAAUUUGGUCUUUGAAAUUGAAGUUAGAUUGUCAUCGUCGCCCAGUGCAGCCUGUAAUGUUGAUUGCACUUGCACUGUUGUGGUUAUGCCGUUAUGCCGCUGUGUUAACCACAUACGGUAGUACGGGCUCCUAGCCGGCUGGGAAUCGAGAGAUAAUCGGGCUGGUUUGGUUCACCUCCAACAAGGACCAACCCACGAUUGAUUAAAACAAGAAGAAUGAGGCUUAUUUUUGUACACUGUAACGUUAGAUCUAGAGGGAGAUCUGCAUCUAUCUUCAGUAGAUCGAGACUCAGUCAGGAAUAAACUGUGAAGCGGAGUAUGGAUGAAGAUACGCCUGUCAAUGUCAUUGUGUCAAUCCUCAGUCCUCACUUUGUUUCAGAUAUCAAAUUUAUUUUGCAUAACUUCAGGCUUCUGCAUUUAGCCCCCACCCAUUUUAACUCUUAUUGUUAUUUAUAAAUAUAGUUAGACUCGGUCUUAGAAAUCACAUGCUGCUCUGCAUGUUUGUCUUAUUAUCAAUAGAUCUAGGGCCUAGAUCUUCUUAAUCCUAGGCCCUACUUACUUUAUACAUAGAUCUAGGCUACUUUACUUUUAUUUAUUCAUCGAUGCUAUCAAGACAAGAGCUAGGCCUACCUAAUUCAAAUCUAGUCUAACUUAUACUUUCCCAACCCUCGACACUUACCCCCAGGGCUUAUGAUCUAGGUCUGUAAUGUAGGCCUAGAUCUAGGUCUGGGCCUAAACGACUCCAUUUACAUGUACGAGUAUGACUGUCAGUGGACCAAGGACUAGAUCUAGAUCUACUCUUGGUCAAUAAUGGCAAUGAAGUCUUAGCCAAGAAUAAAAGUCAGAGUCAGACAUCAAAAAUUUCUAAACCGAUAUAGGGUCUAGAUCUCGGUUUAGAACCGAAGCUUUACUUUCUAGGUCUAGAUAGAUCGAGAGUCCAUCGUUAGUCUAGAUCUAGACCUAAUUUAGAUACAUGAAUGCUGUCGCACAGCACUGAGUCUUGUUGGACUAGACUAAAUAGAUCUAGACCUAGUGCAUGAGAUCAUGAAAUUAUGUUAAAAUCAAAUGAAAUAAGAUUCGAAAAUAAAAAGAUCCGGAUUUUUUUAUUUAUUAUUAUUUUUUUUUUUUUGGGGGGGGGGCAGACAUGGGAAAAAAAUUAGAGAAACCUAAAAUUCAGAAAGCGAGGGCCAGAAGUGACCAAUAUUACCUAGGGCCGUUUUGUGCAUUUUCUAAAGUAAAAUUGAAGGAUGUCAUGCAAUUCUCUUUUUGAUGAAGGUUUCACAUUUCAGCUCUUACCCAAACCCCUCCCCCUAUACAUACGGCCAUGAAAAAGAUCACUUCUUAUUAUUGUUCUCUUUUCUUUCACAAACAGGUUGAGUUUGAAGAACAAGAAAAACAGUAGAGGUCUACCUAUAUGGUUCAAGAUGAUGAUCAUAAGUGCAUGCAUCAUUUUGCAGAUUCUCAUCCAGGAUGAUGCAGUUUUACAAUUUCCAUUGAGGUGAUUGAUGAUGAUAAAUAAUUGGUGAAGUAGGCCUAAUAGAACAGCGACUAGACCACAAAGAGAAAUACAACCUACAGCAGUUAUAUGAGACUGGUGUAACAGAUGUUUUCAUUCAAGAAAUCCAACAAUUCAAGAGUCUGACUUAGGAACCCCUUGAUGAAGAUGGAAAAGGUUUUUUUUCCAAGCCAAAUU